rnacentral:rRNA from 1 species
CCGGAAAGCUGUUCAAACUCGGUCAUUUAGAGGAAGUAAAAGUCGUAACAAGGUCUCCGUUGGUGAACCAGCGGAGGGAUCAUU